UGAAAAUUUCCUACCCACUUGCCCAUGACAU
rnacentral:piRNA from 1 species